ensembl:lncRNA
UAGCGUUUGUUUAAUGUGCGUGUCUGCGUAUUGUUUGCUUUUGGGUCCAGCUUGCGUGUUAGAACUACGGUUCAUGACAGAGUUUCUGUCAAAUCACUUCUAAAACUGUUUUUGAAAAUGUCACUAAAACACGAAUUAUUAAUAUUAUAUUGGUGAGUGUUGUGGGCUCAGACACGAGAGCACUUUUAAAUAUUUCUUUGGACGCGUCAGUGAAAGUUUUUUUUAGCCUAAAAUCACAGGUUUAAGAUCCAGAGCAGAUUUUAAAGGGUUAACCUUCAUAAAGUGUGUGACAGCUACAGGAAAGAUCUGACACAUUAAUCUGAUCACACAGAUGUUGAGUUUAGCUGCGGUCAGUCGGCUAUCUGAAGUUGUAUCAUCUGUAAUCUGAUUGGUCGGUUUUUCACGCAGCAGAUUAAAACAAACUCAGGUGAGUUUGGUUGAAAACUCUCUUUCAGGUUCUCCUGUUUCAUCCUCUGGUUUUAAGUUAAUGCUGCUCAGCGCGUAACAUGAUCCACGUCAGCUGUCACAUGACAAAGCUGCUCAGAACUUCCUGUCAGAGAGGAAACACACGAAGGUGAUGAGGAGAUAAAGAAGGAGAGGAAACAUGAGUGAGGACACUUCUCCUAUGUGCGACAAUAUCGACUGUGUUUGAGUCACAGGCUGUAAUAUCUCAGCCUUUCCACAUGUGGCCUUUAUUAGAGGAGCCGUGGAUUACUCACAGGGAACGCUGGGAUGCAGGAAAGGUGGCGCCAGGAUCAGAGCAGGGACGCAUUUCAUGUUUCCAGCGUGUAAAAACGCAGCAUUGGUACAAACCCAGCACAUGAGCUCAUCUCACUGACGGCCACAUCAGUGUGUCAGGAAGAAAUGCAGCAUGCAGACUCUCAGCAUACAAAAGAAGCUUUAUUGAUCAAAACAAUCUGAACAGAAGACGCUGAAGAACAGGAGAUCCUGGAAAGGUUCAAGGUUCAAGGUUCUUUAUUUGUCACAUGCAUAGUUAUAUAUGUCAGGGUUUCUGGGUCAUUGACCCAGUAUUUUCAGUUGACGUUCACCGUUUCUCUACUGCCGGUUCCACUUCCUGUUUUAUUGUGUUAACCUUGGUCUGUGUUCAUUAUGUUCAGCCCUCUUCCCAUUUAUCAGUAGUUCUUUAAGUUCAGCUGUUCACUCACCUGUCACCUAUCAGUCAUUAUUCAGCCAGCAUAUUUAAGUCCUCAGUUCUCUCCUGGUCUUUGUCGUGUCAUUGAUGUUAUGUUGUUGUUCCCGUUAGUUCUCAGUUAUUCAGUCAGCCAGUCACUCCUACCGUUCCUGCUUUGUUCGUUCACCUGCUCCCAAUAAACCCUCAUCAUUUCUGCACCGUGA